rnacentral:rRNA from 1 species
GGUGGAGCAUGUGGUUUAAUUCGAUGCAACGCGAAGAACCUUACCUACUCUUGACAUCCAGAGAACUUAGAGAGAUGCUUUGGUGCCUUCGGGAACUCUGAGACAGGUGCUGCAUGGCUGUCGUCAGCUCGUGUUGUGAAAUGUUGGGUUAAGUCCCGCAACGAGCGCAACCCUUAUCCUUUGUUGCCAGCGGUCCGGCCGGGAACUCAAAGGAGACUGCCAGUGAUAAACUGGAGGAAGGUGGGGAUGACGUCAAGUCAUCAUGGCCCUUACGAGUAGGGCUACACACGUGCUACAAUGGCGCAUACAAAGAGAAGCGACCUCGCGAGAGCAAGCGGACCUCAUAAAGUGCGUCGUAGUCCGGAUUGGAGUCUGCAACUCGACUCCAUGAAGUCGGAAUCGCUAGUAAUCGUGGAUCA